UGUGUGUGUGUGUGUGUGUGUAUGUAUGUGUGUAUAUAUAUAUGUAUAUAUAUAUAUACACACACACACACACACAUC